rnacentral:rRNA from 1 species
GUGCCAGCCGCCGCGGUAAUACGUAGGGAGCAAGCGUUGUUCGGAAUUAUUGGGCGUAAAGAGCGCGUAGGCGGUUCGGUAAGUCUGAUGUGAAAUCCCAGAGCUUAACUCUGGAACUGCAUUGGAUACUGCCGAGCUUGAGUGUGGGAGAGGAGAGUGGAAUUCCCAGUGUAGAGGUGAAAUUCGUAGAUAUUGGGAGGAACACCCGUGGCGAAGGCGGCUCUCUGGACCACAACUGACGCUGAGGCGCGAAAGCUAGGGUAGCAAACGGGAUUAGAAACCCCAGUAGUCC